rnacentral:sRNA from 1 species
CGCAGCCGCGGUAAUUCCAGCUCCAAUAGCGUAUAUUAAAGUUGUUGCAGUUAAAAAGCUCGUAGUUGAAUUUCGGGAUCAUCAGGUUGGUCGUGCCACUGGUACGUACUUGCCUUGAUGGUUCCUCCCUCUUGAAGAACCGUAAUGUCAUUAAUUUGGUGUUGCGGGGAAUCAGGACUGUUACUUUGAAAAAUUAGAGUGUUUAAAGCAGGCAACCGCUUGAAUACAUUAGCAUGGAAUAAUGAAAUAGGACGUUUGACCCUAUUUUGUUGGUUUCUAGGAUCGACGUAAUGAUUAAUAGGGUUAGUUGGGGGCAUUAGUAUUCAAUUGUCAGAGGUGAAAUUCUUGGAUUUAUUGAAGACUAACUACUGCGAAAGCAUUUGCCAAGGAUG